CACUAAGAUGUUCCAAGGAUAGUAAUUCCGUUGACUGGUCACCCUGAGAUCUAAGAUUCAAUAAUUCAACACGAUCAGAGACCAAAACAAAGGUGAUAUGUCUGGAAACAUUUGGCUUUACUGCUGAGAUAAAGCUACAACUAUACGACCCCAUGAUGUGUAGUUGCCACGAGUCCAAUGUAAUGGUUUUCACCUUUGGGUUUGAACGACUGAACAAACAUAACAUUUAGAAAGGAGAAGAUAAAUCCACAGUUAGUGAUCAACUUGCACUUUCGAUCAAACCCUGACAUCUUAAACAAGUCUCUUUAACAUGACAUUCUAACGGCUAUGGUGCUUGGUCUGGUAAUGGAACAUGGUUUGGUUCGGGGCGCAAAACAAACCUUAAUAACUGCAGUAUCCAAGCUGUGCAGCCACCUUCGAUAUUAUAAGGAAACGCCGAAUCCACGUUACCAAGCAUUUAGAAUGGAUUGCAGUCUUGAACCAUUUGCACACGUCUAUGCACUAAGCGGCUCAGCGUUGAGGUGACAAGUGGUUCCUUUGAUGUUGUGAGGUCGGUCUAGGAACUUUAUUUCAUGAGCUGCAUGAGCCCACAGAUUUUAUUCAAGACAUUGCUAAUCGCUAUGACGUAGAGCUUAAAACUAACCUUGACUUGAAAAAGUGUUAGCACUGUCACUAGUGUGACUUGCGUCCAGUCCUCUGACGGUUUCAAAUACCAAAACAACAAUCAAUUUUAGAGGAAUUAGUAGAUUUUGUCAAAGACGAGAAUCAAGAGAAUGUAUAUUUCUAUUCUCUUGCGAGAACUCAAAAGGGAAAGAAAAAUAACAAAGAAAUUAAACAGAAAGACGACAAACUAUUAAUUACA